AACGAACGCUGGCGGCAUGCCUAACACAUGCAAGUCGAACGAAGCCUUCGGGCUUAGUGGCGCACGGGUGCGUAACGCGUGGGAAUCUGCCCUUGGGUACGGAAUAACAGUUAGAAAUGACUGCUAAUACCGUAUGAUGUCUUCGGACCAAAGAUUUAUCGCCCAGGGAUGAGCCCGCGUUGGAUUAGGUAGUUGGUGGGGUAAAGGCCUACCAAGCCGACGAUCCAUAGCUGGUCUGAGAGGAUGAUCAGCCACACUGGGACUGAGACACGGCCCAGACUCCUACGGGAGGCAGCAGUGGGGAAUAUUGGACAAUGGGGGAAACCCUGAUCCAGCAAUGCCGCGUGAGUGAUGAAGGCCUUAGGGUUGUAAAGCUCUUUUACCCGGGAAGAUAAUGACUGUACCGGGAGAAUAAGCCCCGGCCAACUCCGUGCCAGCCGCCGCCGUAA
rnacentral:rRNA from 1 species